AAGAGUAUAUUUUGACUGUUGUUCUCCUUUAUAUCUUCCAGAUGUGAUUUUCUGCAAAGCUGGAGGUGGAGCGGGAUGGGAAUCCCAUGAGUCCUCUGGAGCAUUACAUUCCCCUGUUUGGAGUGUGGACAAGAGUUUGGCAUUCUGCUUUUACAGAUCACUGCCGCUCGCUCCUGGAGCGCAGGGGGACGGCCAGACUCCCACAUCUUUCAGCGAGAAGAAAGGAGCCAGCGGAGCGGACUAAUACGGACUUGUGUCGGGUACCCUUGCCCUACAAAGGCUGCCUUUAAAAGAGAAACGCAGUGCUAUUUAAUGAGCUGUGAGAUGAGGCACUGCUGCUAACACUCAGAUCCCAGGAUUCAUCGGCUAUUCAUUGUGCUUAAUGUACAUGUUUCUGCACCGUGCAUUUAGGAGAUCCCAGAGAAGAAUCCAAAACGGCUG
rnacentral:lncRNA from 1 species